UAAGUUAGAAAGGGCGCACGGUGGAUGCCUUGACACUAGGAGUCGAUGAAGGACGGGACUAACGCCGAUAUGCUUCGGGGAGCUGUAAGUAAGCUUUGAUCCGAAGAUUUCCGAAUGGGGAAACCCACCAUACGUAAUGGUAUGGUAUCCUUAUCUGAAUACAUAGGGUAAGGAAGACAGACCCAGGGAACUGAAACAUCUAAGUACCUGGAGGAAGAGAAAGCAAAUGCGAUUUCCUGAGUAGCGGCGAGCGAAACGGAACAUAGCCCAAACCAAGAGGCUUGCCUCUUGGGGUUGUAGGACAUUCUAUACGGAGUUACAAAGGAACGAGGUAGACGAAGCGACCUGGAAAGGUCCGUCGUAGAGGGUAACAACCCCGUAGUCGAAACUUCGUUCUCUCUUGAAUGUAUCCUGAGUACGGCGGAACACGUGAAAUUCCGUCGGAAUCUGGGAGGACCAUCUCCCAAGGCUAAAUACUCCCUAGUGAUCGAUAGUGAACCAGUACCGUGAGGGAAAGGUGAAAAGCACCCCGGAAGGGGAGUGAAAGAGAUCCUGAAACCGUGUGCCUACAAAUAGUCAGAGCCCGUUAAUGGGUGAUGGUGUGCCUUUUGUAGAAUGAACCGGCGAGUUACGAUCCCGUGCGAGGUUAAGCUGAAGAGGCGGAGCCGCAGCGAAAGCGAGUCUGAAUAGGGCGUUUAGUACGUGGUCGUAGACCCGAAACCAGGUGAUCUACCCAUGUCCAGGGUGAAGUUCAGGUAACACUGAAUGGAGGCCCGAACCCACGCACGUUGAAAAGUGCGGGGAUGAGGUGUGGGUAGCGGAGAAAUUCCAAUCGAACCUGGAGAUAGCUGGUUCUCCCCGAAAUAGCUUUAGGGCUAGCCUUAAGUGUAAGAGUCUUGGAGGUAGAGCACUGAUUGGACUAGGGGUCCUCAUCGGAUUACCGAAUUCAGUCAAACUCCGAAUGCCAAUGACUUAUCCUUAGGAGUCAGACUGCGAGUGAUAAGAUCCGUAGUCAAAAGGGAAACAGCCCAGACCGCCAGCUAAGGUCCCAAAGUGUGUAUUAAGUGGAAAAGGAUGUGGAGUUGCUUAGACAACUAGGAUGUUGGCUUAGAAGCAGCCACCAUUUAAAGAGUGCGUAAUAGCUCACUAGUCGAGUGACUCUGCGCCGAAAAUGUACCGGGGCUAAAUACACCACCGAAGCUGCGGAUUGAUACCAAUGGUAUCAGUGGUAGGGGAGCGUUCUAAGGACAGUGAAGUCAGACCGGAAGGACUGGUGGAGUGCUUAGAAGUGAGAAUGCCGGUAUGAGUAGCGAAAGACGGGUGAGAAUCCCGUCCACCGAAUGCCUAAGGUUUCCUGAGGAAGGCUCGUCCGCUCAGGGUUAGUCAGGACCUAAGCCGAGGCCGACAGGCGUAGGCGAUGGACAACAGGUUGAUAUUCCUGUACCACCUCUUUAUCGUUUGAGCAAUGGAGGGACGCAGAAGGAUAGAAGAAGCGUGCGAUUGGUUGUGCACGUCCAAGCAGUUAGGCUGAUAAGUAGGCAAAUCCGCUUAUCGUGAAGGCUGAGCUGUGAUGGGGAAGCUCCUUAUGGAGCGAAGUCUUUGAUUCCCCGCUGCCAAGAAAAGCUUCUAGCGAGAUAAAAGGUGCCUGUACCGCAAACCGACACAGGUAGGCGAGGAGAGAAUCCUAAGGUGUGCGAGAGAACUCUGGUUAAGGAACUCGGCAAAAUGACCCCGUAACUUCGGGAGAAGGGGUGCUUUCUUAACGGAAAGCCGCAGUGAAUAGGCCCAAGCGACUGUUUAGCAAAAACACAGCUCUCUGCGAAGCCGUAAGGCGAAGUAUAGGGGGUGACACCUGCCCGGUGCUGGAAGGUUAAGGAGAGGGGUUAGCGUAAGCGAAGCUCUGAACUGAAGCCCCAGUAAACGGCGGCCGUAACUAUAACGGUCCUAAGGUAGCGAAAUUCCUUGUCGGGUAAGUUCCGACCCGCACGAAAGGUGUAACGAUUUGGGCACUGUCUCAACCAGAGACUCGGUGAAAUUAUAGUACCUGUGAAGAUGCAGGUUACCCGCGACAGGACGGAAAGACCCCGUGGAGCUUUACUGUAGCCUGAUAUUGAAUUUUGGUACAGUUUGUACAGGAUAGGCGGGAGCCUUUGAAACCGGAGCGCUAGCUUCGGUGGAGGCGCUGGUGGGAUACCGCCCUGACUGUAUUGAAAUUCUAACCUACGGGUCUUAUCGACCCGGGAGACAGUGUCAGGUGGGCAGUUUGACUGGGGCGGUCGCCUCCUAAAGUGUAACGGAGGCGCCCAAAGGUUCCCUCAGAAUGGUUGGAAAUCAUUCGUAGAGUGCAAAGGCAUAAGGGAGCUUGACUGCGAGACCUACAAGUCGAGCAGGGACGAAAGUCGGGCUUAGUGAUCCGGUGGUUCCGCAUGGAAGGGCCAUCGCUCAACGGAUAAAAGCUACCCCGGGGAUAACAGGCUUAUCUCCCCCAAGAGUCCACAUCGACGGGGAGGUUUGGCACCUCGAUGUCGGCUCAUCGCAUCCUGGGGCUGUAGUCGGUCCCAAGGGUUGGGCUGUUCGCCCAUUAAAGCGGUACGCGAGCUGGGUUCAGAACGUCGUGAGACAGUUCGGUCCCUAUCCGUCGUGGGCGUAGGAAAUUUGAGAGGAGCUGUCCUUAGUACGAGAGGACCGGGAUGGACGCACCGCUGGUGUACCAGUUGUUCUGCCAAGGGCAUAGCUGGGUAGCUAUGUGCGGAAGGGAUAAGUGCUGAAAGCAUCUAAGCAUGAAGCCCCCCUCAAGAUGAGAUUUCCCAUAGCGUAAGCUAGUAAGAUCCCUGAAAGAUGAUCAGGUUGAUAGGUUCGAGGUGGAAGCAUGGUGACAUGUGGAGCUGACGAAUACUAAUAGAUCGAGGACUUAACCA
rnacentral:rRNA from 2 species